rnacentral:lncRNA from 1 species
CUGGUGGGGCUCCUGCUCUGCGCCAUGGCCUUUGACAUCAUCAUCACACCGGCUGGCAGGGGCUGGUUGCAGGCGAGUGACCACAUCCACACAUCCUCGCCGGAGUGGAGACGCUCCCACAAGUGUGGCCACCAGGGUCUCAUGGGGGGAGACAUGGUGAAGAGCGGCUGCUAUGCUCCUCUGUGGCUCUAUCACCCUCAAGAUCUAUUCCAUCCUCUGCUUCUUUGCCCUCUAUGGAUCCCAAGCGCUUGUCUUCGUAGGAGUGACUAGAGCCUCUCGCUCUGGUUGCUGUGUUCCGAAUCAUCCUUCUGGUAAUACACCCGUGAAAUACACCCAGACCUUCAGCCUUCAUGCCAAGCCUGCUGUCACAUCUAUUACUGGACCUACAGCUUCAGAUGGGUGCCCACAAUUAUCCUGAUCGGCUGUGCCUUCUCCUGCUGCUGCCUCCCAAACUGCGAAGAUGACCUCCCGGACAACCUCAGACCA